CCUACGGGGGGCAGCAGUGGGGAAUAUUGGACAAUGGGGGCAACCCUGAUCCAGCCAUGCCGCGUGUGUGAAGAAGGCCCUCGGGUUGUAAAGCACUUUCAGUGAGGAAGAACGCCUGGUGGUUAAUACCCAUCAGGAAAGACAUCACUCACAGAAGAAGCACCGGCUAACUCCGUGCCAGCAGCCGCGGUAAUACGGAGGGUGCGAGCGUUAAUCGGAAUUACUAGGCGUAAAGCGCGCGUAGGUGGCUUGAUAAGCCGGUUGUGAAAGCCCCGGGCUCAACCUGGGAACGGCAUCCGGAACUGUCAAGCUAGAGUGCAGGAGAGGAAGGUAGAAUUCCCGGUGUAGCGGUGAAAUGCGUAGAGAUCGGGAGGAAUACCAGUGGCGAAGGCGGCCUUCUGGACUGACACUGACACUGAGGUGCGAAAGCGUGGGUAGCAAACAGGAUUAGAUACCCGUGUAGUC
rnacentral:rRNA from 1 species